AGGACGAACGCUGGCGGCGCGCCUAAUACAUGCAAGUCGAGCGAGAACCAGGGCUUCGGCCCUGGGGAGAGCGGCGAACGGGUGCGUAUCACGUGAGCAACCUGCCUCGGAGACCGGAAUAACUCGAGGAAACUCGGGCUAAUGCCGGAUGCCCUCGGUGGACCGCAUGGUCCGGCGAGGAAAUGGAUUCCGCUCCGAGAUGGGCUCGCGGCCUAUCAGCUUGUUGGUGGGGUAACGCCUACCAAGGCAACGACGGGUAGCUGGUCUGAGAGGACGAUCAGCCACACUGGGACUGGACACGCCG
rnacentral:rRNA from 1 species